GUGAAAUCAAGUCUCAUUAAGCACAAGCUAUAAGUUCAAAAUUUAAAUUUAAUAACAAAAACACCUCAACUACUCAGAAUCCUCGAAACAACAGAAAUAAAUAACAAAAAUUCAUUGGUAAUAGGAACCAGAACAACGAUGGAUAAAGGAAGGCAGCUACUAAAGCUAAGCCUUGACACGACCAUAGAACUUCUGUUUCUCUUGUGUUGUCUGGAAGCGUCCAUGGCCAAACUUUGAGGAUGUAUCGAUGAACUUAAGUUUGAUCUCCUCAAGAGCCACACGGGAAGUUUGUUUGAGAAGAGACUGACGAAGAGUGAUGACCCUCUUCUUAGGUCCAACACAACCUCCCUUAAUCAUCAAGUAGUCACUCUUCACAAUACCGUAAUGAGGGAAACCACCCAUUGGAGUAAUGUCCUUCUCGGUCCUGUCGAAUUCAGUGAUAGCGGAAUGCGUUUCCUGUCCUGUCUUUCCAAUUUUGUAGAUCUUUUUGUUCAUUUCAGUUCGGUGGUGGUAUCCAUUCUGACCAGCCCUGGCAACAGUAAACGAUACUCUAGCAGGAUGCCAAGCACCAAUA
rnacentral:misc_RNA from 1 species